GGUGCUUGCAUCUUGAUUUAAUUUUGAACGAGUGGCGGACGGGUGAGUAACACGUGGGUAACCUGCCCUUAAGUGGGGGAUAACAUUUGGAAACAGAUGCUAAUACCGCAUAAAUCCAAGAACCGCAUGGUUCUUGGCUGAAAGAUGGCGUAAGCUAUCGCUUUUGGAUGGACCCGCGGCGUAUUAGCUAGUUGGUGAGGUAACGGCUCACCAAGGCAAUGAUACGUAGCCGAACUGAGAGGUUGAUCGGCCACAUUGGGACUGAGACACGGCCCAAACUCCUACGGGAGGCAGCAGUAGGGAAUCUUCCACAAUGGACGCAAGUCUGAUGGAGCAACGCCGCGUGAGUGAAGAAGGCUUUCGGGUCGUAAAACUCUGUUGUUGGAGAAGAAUGGUCGGCAGAGUAACUGUUGUCGGCGUGACGGUAUCCAACCAGAAAGCCACGGCUAACUACGUGCCAGCAGCCGCGGUAAUACGUAGGUGGCAAGCGUUAUCCGGAUUUAUUGGGCGUAAAGCGAGCGCAGGCGGUUUUUUAAGUCUGAUGUGAAAGCCCUCGGCUUAACCGAGGAAGUGCAUCGGAAACUGGGAAACUUGAGUGCAGAAGAGGACAGUGGAACUCCAUGUGUAGCGGUGAAAUGCGAAGAUAUAUGGAAGAACACCAGUGGCGAAGGCGGCUGUCUGGUCUGUAACUGACGCUGAGGCUCGAAAGCAUGGGUAGCGAACAGGAUUAGAUACCCUGGUAGUCCAUGCCGUAAACGAUGAAUGCUAGGUGUUGGAGGGUUUCCGCCCUUCAGUGCCGCAGCUAACGCAUUAAGCAUUCCGCCUGGGGAGUACGACCGCAAGGUUGAAACUCAAAGGAAUUGACGGGGGCCCGCACAAGCGGUGGAGCAUGUGGUUUAAUUCGAAGCAACGCGAAGAACCUUACCAGGUCUUGACAUCUUUUGAUCACCUGAGAGAUCAGGUUUCCCCUUCGGGGGCAAAAUGACAGGUGGUGCAUGGUUGUCGUCAGCUCGUGUCGUGAGAUGUUGGGUUAAGUCCCGCAACGAGCGCAACCCUUAUGACUAGUUGCCAGCAUUUAGUUGGGCACUCUAGUAAGACUGCCGGUGACAAACCGGAGGAAGGUGGGGAUGACGUCAAAUCAUCAUGCCCCUUAUGACCUGGGCUACACACGUGCUACAAUGGAUGGUACAACGAGUUGCGAGACCGCGAGGUCAAGCUAAUCUCUUAAAGCCAUUCUCAGUUCGGACUGUAGGCUGCAACUCGCCUACACGAAGUCGGAAUCGCUAGUAAUCGCGGAUCAGCACGCCGCGGUGAAUACGUUCCCGGGCCUUGUACACACCGCCCGUCACACCAUGAGAGUUUGUAACACCCGAAGCCGGUGGCGUAACCCUUUUAGGGAGCGAGCCGUCUAAGGUGGGACAAAUGAUUAGGGUGAAG
rnacentral:rRNA from 1 species